rnacentral:rRNA from 1 species
GACGAACGCUGGCGGCGUGCCUAAUACAUGCAAGUUGAGCGAUGAAGAUUGGUGCUUGCACCAAUUUGAAGAGCAGCGAACGGGUGAGUAACGCGUGGGGAAUCUGCCUUUGAGCGGGGGACAACAUUUGGAAACGAAUGCUAAUACCGCAUAACAACUUUAAACAUAAGUUUUAAGUUUGAAAGAUGCAAUUGCAUCACUCAAAGAUGAUCCCGCGUUGUAUUAGCUAGUUGGUGAGGUAAAGGCUCACCAAGGCGAUGAUACAUAGCCGACCUGAGAGGGUGAUCGGCCACAUUGGGACUGAGACACAGCCCAAACUCCUACGGGAGGCAGCAGUAGGGGAUCUUCGGCAAUGGACGAAAGUCUGACCGAGCAACGCCGCGUGGGUGAAGAAGGUUUUCGGAUCGUAAAACUCUGUUGGUAGAGAAGAACGUUGGUGAGAGUGGAAAGCUCAUCAAGUGACGGUAACUACCCAGAAAGGGACGGCUAACUACGUG